rnacentral:rRNA from 1 species
GACGAACCGUGCGAACGUUGUUCGGAAUCACUGGGCUUAAAGGGCGCGUAGGCGGCGGCUCAAGUCCGGGGUGAAAGCCCCCAGCUCAACUGGGGAAGGGCCUCGGAAACUGGGUCGCUGGAGGGAGGUAGGGGCAGGGGGAACUUCUGGUGGAGCGGUGAAAUGCGUUGAUAUCAGAAGGAACGGCCGGUGGCGAAAGCGCCCUGACUGG